rnacentral:lncRNA from 1 species
AAAAACAAAACAAAACAAAACCCCGGACAGACCUGGAAGGAAAUUAAAAAUCCCAGAAUUACAAUUGGAAUAGUCACCAUUCUUCUAGUAAUCAAUAAAGAAAGAAGAUAGAAAAUCAGCAAAAUGUUGAAAACUUGAAUGACAUCAUCAAUUAAUGGGACCUAAUUGGCAUUCAUAGGAUACUUUGCCCCCAAACAGCAGAAUACACAUUUUUUACAAGUUCAUAUAGAACAUUAACCAAAAGAGACCAUAUGUUAGUCAUAAAACAAAUGCCAAAAAAAUUAUUAUAAGUAUUGAAAUCAUAGAAUUUAUCCUCUAACCAUAGUGAAAUUAAAGUAGAAAUUAAUAAGAGCUCUUAUGGAAAUUAUAAAAUAUUUAAAAAUUAAACAAUACGCUUCUUAACAACAUAUGGUUCAAAGACAAAAUCACGAGAGAAUUUAGAAAACAUUUUGACCUGAAUGAAAAUGAAAACACAUAACAAAAUUAUGAGAUGUUGUUAGAGCAGAAUCUCAAGGGAGAUGUAUAGUUAAUUGUUUAUAUUAGAGAAGAAGAAAGGUCUAAAAUCAAUAACCUAAGAUUAUUCCUUUUAAAAAGGACAUGGAUAACAAAUUAAACCUGAAGAAAAUAGAAGGGAAAAAAUUAAGAAAAAAGAAGAAAUUAAGGACAUAUAAAACAAAUACUAAAGUCAAUGAAGCAAAAAGUUCAUUGGUAAAUUUCAACAAAAUAUAUAAACUCAUUAAGAAAAAGAAAGGUAGAUGACACAAAUUGUCAAUAUCAGGAACGAAAGUGGGACAUGCUGCAGAUGCUACAGACAUCACAAAGAUGGUGAAUGAAUAUAUGAAUAAUUUUAUGUAGAUAAAUUUAACAACUUGAAUGGGAAGUUUCCUUAGAAGAGUCAUCUUAUCAAAUAUGAAUGAAGAAGAAGUAGAAAGCCUAAGUAGCCCUAUAUCUAGUUAAAAAAUUAAAUGUAUAAUUUUUUUAUUUUUAUAGUUUUAUUGAAGUCUAGCUGAUUUACAAUGUUGUGAUAAUCUUUGCUGUACAACAAAGUGGUUUGGUUAUACAUGUACACACAUCCAUUCUUUUUUCAGAUUCUUUUCCCACAUAGACCAUCACAGAAUGUUGGGUAGAGUUCCCAGUGCUAUACAGUUCCCAUUGAUGGCUAAUCAUUCCAUAUACCACAGUGUGCAUAAGCCAAAUCCAAACUCCAAGUCCAUCCUCUCCUCCCCCAACAUGUCCCCUUUGGUAACCAAAAGUUUGUUUUCAACAUCUGUGAGUUUGCUUCUGUUCUGCAAAAAAGUUCAUUUGUAUCCUUUUUUUUUUUUAAGAUUCCACAUAUAAGUGAUAUCAUACGAUGUUUGUCUUUCACUGUCUGACUACACUUAGUAUGAUAAUCUCUGGGUCCAAAUGGCAUUGUUUCAUUCUUUUUUUCUGGCUGAGUAAUAUUCCAUUGUAUACAUGUACCGCAUCUUCUGUAUCCAGAAGAUACAGAAGGAGAUUUAGGUUACAUCCAUGUCUCCGCUAUUGUAAAUAGUGCUGCAGUGAACAUUGGGGUGCAUGUAUCUUUCUGAAUUAUGGUUUUCUGUGGGUAGAUGUCCAGGAGUGGGACUGCUGGAUUAUGUGGUAGUUCUAUUUUUAGUUUUCUAAGGAAUCUCCCUACUGUUUUCCAUAGUGGUACCAGUUUAUAUUCCCAAAUGUGUAAAUUUAAAAAUUUCCCACAAAGAAAACUUUAGGCUCACAUGGCUUCACUUCUGAAUUCUAUCAAAUAUUCAAGAAAGAAACAUAUCAGGGAAUUUCCAUUGUGGCUCAGUGGAAACGAAUCUGACUGGGAACCAUGAGGUUGUGGGUUCGAUCCCUGGCCUCUCUCAGUGGGUUAAGAAUCCAGCAUUGCCAUGAGCUGUGGUGUAGGUCACGGAUGAGGCUUGGAUCCUGCAUUGCUGUGGCUGUGGUGUAGGUUGAUGGUUGUAGCUCUGAUAUGAGCCCUUGCCUGGGAACCUCUAUAUGCUUUGGGUGCUGCCCUAAAAAGCAAAAAAAAAAAAGAUUUCACAAACUCUUUCAGAAAAUAGGAGGAUGGAAUACUUCCAAACUCACUUCAAAAGGCCAGCAUCACUUUGAUAUGAAAGUCUCUCAGUAACAGCACAAGGGAGAGAAAGAAAAAAAAAAAAGAAAAAUAACGAGUAGAGACCAAUAAGCCUCAUAAACAUAGCCACAAAAAUCCUUAGCAAAAUACCAGCAAAUUGAGCCUAAUGAGCUCUUAAAAGAAUAAAGCAAAGGGGUAGGAGUUAUUUCGGGAAUGUGAGAAAACCUAGAGGAAGAUCAUUGAAGAUGGGUGUGGAUGCCAAUGGGAAAUAAAGAUAAAAAGGGAACAUCAUGGAAUUCCCAUUGUGGCACAGUGGGUUAGGGAUCUGGCAUUGCUGCAGCUGUGCAUUGGAUUUGAUCCGUGGCCUAGAAACUUCCAUGUGCAGCAGGUACAGCCAAAAAAAAAAAAAGGAACAUCAUCAUGAGCUACAGUCAUCUUGAUUUCCAUUCUUAUUUAUAGCAGCUGACAUUUUUGAGCAUUUACCACCUUCCAGGAAGCAUGUUCAGAGUUGUAUGUGAAUUCUCUUGUUUUCGUCUUUGCAAGAACCCCAUAAAGUAGGGACCAUGGUUGUUGGCAUUUUACAAAUGAGUAAACUAAAGCAUAGAGAAACCUAGAAACUUGUCCCCAGUCCUACCGGUGUUAAGAUUUGUACCUAUGCCGUCUGUCUCCAGAUCCUGUACUAAUGCACACUCUACCAGAACUGCUCCUUUUCUGUGCUUUUGUCUGGCAAGGCUUAUUUCUUCACUCCUAAACAUUUAUCUACUUUUUCAGUCCAUCAUUAAGAACUGCCAUCUGAGUCAAAGUACUAAAGUGCUUCUAAGUAAAACUAUGUUUAUGAAACUAUAAACUCAUAAUACUAGAAUGAGAGAUAUGCUGGGUUACCCUCUUCUAAAUUUUUAUGUGGCUACAAAUAUUGACAUCUCCAAGAAGUGGGAAAAAUACUUUCCCGUCCCUAUGUGUAGAACAAAAUGCCUUUUCUUCUUCUGUGUAGACCUGGAUUUCAAUGCUGGCACUGUGCCUUGAUGGCAUCUGAACUUGGGCAAGGUCUUUAAGCCCUGUAGACUUUUGUUCUCAGACUUGUAAAAUGCCAUGGUUCUGCCUCUGGGAUGGCAUAGUGUGCCGAUGAGGAAGAUAACUAGGGUAUUCUUUUCUUCUUUCUGCUUCUCCCUAGCUUUUCCUCUUCUACGAUGCUUCCUCAGAGUUUCAGAAGUUUGACCCUCUCCAGAAAAGCCUUUUUCAAACUUUUUUGACCGUUGUCCACCAAAGAAAUAACUUUACUUCACACACCAAUAGACACAUUAUAUACACAUACAUAUAGAAUGAAAGUGACCACCUAGUUUUUUGUACCAACUAGGAAAGUUAUUACUUUUGAAAGUACCUAUGCUGAGACAAUGGGAAUAAGCUGGCAGUGUUCUGGGAAAAUGGGGCCACAUGUCACAAACCACUUGACCUUCCUUAAUUUGAUGCACUCUGUUAUUUUAUCAUGUGUUUUAGUUAAUUUUAAAAGAGCUCAGACCUAUUAAGUAGAUUUUCAUAACCUAUGAAUGAGGCCUUUCCCAGGCAUUUUGAUUCGCUCUUGAGAAUGACUUAUCUGACCAUCCAACAUUUCUGGUAUCCAGAAGUACUGUAGGUGAGCAUAUACAAAUAUGCAACAUUUCUGGAGACCUCAGGCGCUGGACAAGAUGGGUUCUGAUCGCCAGAACCACACUCGUUCCAACUCUGUUUUUGUUUGUUCAUGCAUUCAUUAUCCGUUCUUUUCAUUCCCUCAUUUUUCAAAUACUUUGAGCACGUUCUGUACCACCAAGUGCUGGAAAUGACCAAAUACUGAGGGCUGGGACACGAUCCCGGCUCUUGAGUUCCUGGGGUGGACGAGGAUUGACGCCCGCGGGGACACAUCGUUACGGGACAGGGAGAUGAGUGUGAAGUUCCAAGGCGAUCGGGAGGCCGUAGGAACGUGGAAGAAAGAUCCACUACCUUUGCCGGGGAGGAGGAAAGGAGUCAGAGGAAAAGCGUUGCAUUAGGUUCUCAAAGACCGGGAGGAACGGAGGAUGGGAGGAGCUACUACUGCGGAAGUAAGCUGAGGAAGGGGAGGGUUGGUCUGUUUUGUUCACCGAGGUGUCCUGCCCCUGGAAAAGUGCCUGGUACAUACACAGUUGGUCCCUGAAAAAUAAUGGGAGUGAUCCGAAGGAGCCAAUUUCUGUAUCCAGGAUGUAAUUAGUAUCGGCUCAUAUGUGAAGGAAAAUGCAUAGGAAAAAAUUUGAAACUUACAAGGGACUAUUGGCUGCUCAGUUACCUGUAGCAACAUCCUCGGCUGCCUAAUGCUUGUCCUGUACAAGACUCGGUUUAAGCAUCAGCUUCUCCAGAAGAUCUGGUCCACAAGCCAUCUCCACCCCAGCAGGUGAGAACGCCCUGGGACAGAAGCUGUGCUUUGUGUUACUGUGUCCCCAUUGUAUAGCCCAGUGCCCGGCCACAGGAGGCCAUGGCUAAAUGGCUGUUGGGUGGUAAAAUGCCCACAUCCCCUUUCUGGGAUUUUCAAAGAAGUAUGAGACACAGAAUUUUAAAAUCUCUUGCAAAUUACCUUUUUUACAUAGAGCCCAAAUUGAAAUUUAGACUCACAAAACCACAGCACCUUCUAACUGGAAAGGACUUAAUAAUUAUCUUGAAGAGAUGUUUUCAAUUAAGAGUCAGUAGGGUAGUGCAAGGCUUCACACUCCAAGAAAAAUGAGAAAAAUAGGAGCAAUGGAAUAGAUUUUUAAAAAAAAUCAGAUUUGGAGUUCCCAUUGUGGUGCAGCAGAAAUGAAUCCGACUAGGAACCAUGAGGUUGUGGGUUCGAUCCCUGGCCUCACUCAGUGGGUUAAGGAUACGGUGUUGCCGUGAGCUGUGAUGUAGGUCGCAGACGCGGCUCGGAUCUGGUGUUGAUGUGGCUCUGGCUUAGGCCAGCAGCAACAGCUCCAAUUAGACUCCUAGCCUGGGAACCUCCAUAUGCCUCGGGUGCGGCCCUAAAAGGACAAAAAACAAAAGACAAAAAAAAAAAAAAAAAAAAAAAAAAAAA